AUUGAACGCUGGCGGCAGGCCUAACACAUGCAAGUCGAGCGGAUGAAGGGAGCUUGCUCCUGGAUUCAGCGGCGGACGGGUGAGUAAUGCCUAGGAAUCUGCCUGGUAGUGGGGGAUAACGUCCGGAAACGGGCGCUAAUACCGCAUACGUCCUGAGGGAGAAAGUGGGGGAUCUUCGGACCUCACGCUAUCAGAUGAGCCUAGGUCGGAUUAGCUAGUUGGUGGGGUAAAGGCCUACCAAGGCGACGAUCCGUAACUGGUCUGAGAGGAUGAUCAGUCACACUGAAACUGAGACACGGUCCAGACUCCUACGGGAGGCAGCAGUGGGGAAUAUUGGACAAUGGGCGAAAGCCUGAUCCAGCCCUGCCGCGUGUGUGAAGAAGGUCUUCGGAUUGUAAAGCACUUUAAGUUGGGAGGAAGGGCAGUAAGUUAAUACCUUGCUGUUUUGACGUUACCAACAGAAUAAGCACCGGCUAACUUCGUG
rnacentral:rRNA from 1 species